rnacentral:rRNA from 1 species
UCCUGGCUCAGAACGAACGCUGGCGGCAUGCCUAAUACAUGCAAGUCGAACGAACACUUCGGUGUUAGUGGCGCACGGGUGCGUAACGCGUGGGAAUCUACCCUUGGGUUCGGAAUAACAGUGGGAAACUACUGCUAAUACCGGAUGAUGACGAAAGUCCAAAGAUUUAUCGCCCAAGGAUGAGCCCGCGUAGGAUUAGCUUGUUGGUGAGGUAAAAGCUCACCAAGGCGACGAUCCUUAGCUGGUCUGAGAGGAUGAUCAGCCACACUGGGACUGAGACACGGCCCAGACUCCUACGGGAGGCAGCAGUAGGGAAUAUUGGACAAUGGGCGAAAGCCUGAUCCAGCAAUGCCGCGUGAGUGAUGAAGGCCUUAGGGUUGUAAAGCUCUUUUACCCGGGAUGAUAAUGACAGUACCGGGAGA